AAAUUUUUAAACUGUGUAAAUUUAAGGUGCACAACAUGAUGUUUUGAUAUAUUAAUAUCUAUAUGUAGUAAGUGAUUACUACAACCAAAUUAACCUAUCUAUCAUUUCACAGUUGUCUUUCUUUUCCUUCUUUUCUUUUUUAUUUGCUGAUGAACAUAGCUGAAAUACACUGUUUUACCAAAUAUUCAUUAUACUUCUCAUGAGGAACACUUAGCUUGCUUUCAUAUCUUGCCUAUUGUGAAUAAUGCUGCAAUAAACACGAGAGUGCAGAUAUCUUUACCAGAUGCUAUCAGGCCACUGCAAGUGUGAACAGCUUACCUCAAGGGAAGAAUCAAGAGUGAAGGGACACAAGAACCUAGAAUCAGAUCACACCUCCCCUUUUACAGAUAACAUUGCUUGAAGGAAGACAGAACUAUGCUACUCAAGAAUCAUGACGAACAGAUCAUAUAGACAGGGGUUUGCAGUGUUGCCCAGACUGAAAUGCAGUUUUGUGACCUCAGCUCACCACAACCUCCACCUCCUGCUCCUGCCUCAGCCUCUUGAGUAGCUGGGAUUACAGGCACGCAACCACACCAAGCUAACGUUUGUACUUCAGUAGAGAAAAGGUUUCAUCCUUUUCGCCAGGCUGGGCUGAAACUCCUGACCUCAAGUUAUCUACAUUCUUUGGACUCCCAAAGUGUUAGGAUUGCAAGCAUGAGUCACCACACCUGGCUCCAACCCAGAUUUUUAAGGCUCUCCCAAGGAUAAUUUCCUUAAAGCACAAACUAGUUUAUGUCUGUUGAUUAACAUUCUUUUAUGAAUUUCUCCAGUUUUCAGAAUAAAAUAUUGUAUUUUACUUUUAUUUUCA
rnacentral:lncRNA from 13 species